rnacentral:lncRNA from 1 species
CAAAACCCAUCAGAGAAAGGCCAGAGACAAACCAGAUCAAGCCUUCGGUGACCAUAUUGUAUUGAGGAGACUUAUGGGGUCUUACCGAUAGAGGGAAUCAACAAGGUAAGGCUUCACGACGACUGGUGGUCGAAAGAGGUGAGGCUGGAGGUGGUUGGAGAGGCGGUGAGUUCAUCGGAAAAUAAGAGAUAAUCAGAAUGUUCUAGAGAGAAGGGAGAGGGAGAGUCAAUAUAGAGAGAGAC